GUUCACAUUAAGAAUCUCUCAUCAAUUAUAUUAGUAUUUAAAUAGAAAGUUUCUCAAAAACUUAAGAGAGUUAUGCGAGGAUAGAUUUUUACUGAGAAUUUUCUAUCAAAAUAUUAAUAUAAUUGGUGAGAGAUUCAUGUGG